CUCAGACGAAGGUGCAGGCCACCCUCAGCCAGGUUUUCACUAAGGCUCUAGACCUUUCUAUAGCCUGUAAAAAACCUGGCUCCUCCUAGAAGACGAUUCGGGGGCUUGCGGCCAAAGACCCAAUUAGGAGUAUAAUUUAUUCCCCUGCAUGUAUAUCUAUGUGCAUCUCCCUCAGGGUUUAUCUUCAUAGUAGGGGCUUGCUCAAAGAUUUGGGGUUCUUGGUUGGGACCCCCAAGUAUGAUCUCAGCGUGAACAACGACGGAGUCAGCUCUCCGCAUCCAUCCCGGUGCGUCUCCCUCCUGGAGUCUGUCAAUGCGCCAGGGCUGCGGAGAGAGAGGUGAGGACUGACGGACUGGUGAGAGGCCCCUGCGAGGGAGAGCUGGGAGAGCAGACCGCGGGGGAGGCCACCUCCCCCAGAGGCAGGCAGCGGAUGCGGGGACGUGAGGAGCGCUUCUGCCAGCGAGCCAGCGAGUGAGGACAGGGGAAUCAAUCACUGCCAGCCUGGUGACACCACCACAGCUCCUCCUGUCAGCGGGGCUGGCCUCUCCUCACCUACGCCGGGAGAGGGAAGUCCGGACGUGGCCUGGGCGGGUGGGGUGAGUGCCAGGGCAGUGCCUCGCCAAGGCUGCAAUCUCGCCCUGCUGCCUCUCCAGCACACUCGGGGCUUGUUUAAGUAGAUUCGCCCGUGCCCAAAGUAUCAACCAGAGUAAAACAAAACCCCUACAAAUGACUGAGCUCCCUAUUCAGGAAAAGGGGCAGGGCUGCAGGGUUCUAUCUCCAUGGCACCAUUUUUGGUCAAUGGGGAAUCAAGGCAUAUUACUGGGAAAAUUCAUUCAUUCAUUUCGUGUUUAUUAUUUACCUAUUUUGUAAAAGAAGGGGGUAUUCCAGGAGAUGAGACAGACUAAGAAAAACCAGAGUGUGUUUUGGUGACAGCAAAGUUUAGCUGGCGUUUGGAGAAAAUGAAUAGUAGAAAUAGUUAGAAAGGGUAGGGAGUCUGGAGCUUGGAUUCUAUUUUAAUUCCUUGGGCAAAUGGAAGCCACUGAAGAUUUUUUGUUGCUGUCAUCGUUGUUUUUGAGAUAUUAUUGACAUGCAGUAAAAUCCAUCCUUUUUAGUGUUCUGAGUUUUGCAAAUGUAUAUAGACGUGUAAACACCCCCACCUCAAGGUGUAGAAUGUUCCCAUCGCGCCACAGAGUUCCUUACGUCUCCUCGCAGUCAGCCCUUCCCCACAGUAGCCCCUCAUAACUGUUCUCUAUUGCUAUCGUUUUGCCUUUUCCAGAAUGUUCUAUAAAAUGGAAUCAUACGGCAAGUAGCUUCUAGAGUCUGAUUUCUUCCACUUAGCACAACAUGUUUGAGAUUCAUCCGUGUGUCUGUGAGUGUCAAUAGUCCGUCCGUUUCUCGCUCAGUGGUACUUUAUUGUGUGGAUCUUUAUCCAGUCAUCGGCUGAAGGGCGUUUGGGUUAUUUCCAGUUUUUGGUGAUUAUGAAUAAACCCACUAACUACCUUCAUGUACAGGUUUGUGUGUGAACGUAAGUUUUCAAUUCACUUGGGCAAAUAUCUAAGCAUAUAAGAGUAAGAUUGCUAGGUCAAAUUUUAGCUUUAUUAAAAAAAUAAAAAUUAAAAAACCCUGCCAAACUGUUUUCUAAAGCAGCUGUGGUGUUUUGCGUUCUCCCCAGCAGUAUAGGGAACUUCCAGGGAACUUCUGCUUAUUCCACAUCCUCACCAGCACUUGGUAUCAUAUUUUUUAUUUUUAGCUGUCCUAAUAGGUGUGUUGUGGAAUCUCAUUGUGGUUUUAAUCUGUGUUUCCCCGAUGACUAAUGCUGUUGAGCACCUUUUGGUGUGUUCACUUGCUGUUCUCAUACAUCUUUGGGUGAAAGAUCUUUUCAGAUCCACUGAAAUGCAUUUAGGAAUGCAUUUAGGAAGAUCUUCCUGGCAGCAGAGCAUGGCCUGGCUGCUCAGGGUGUUGAAGGAAGACCAGCAGCCCCUGCAUCUCCCAGGAACUUCUCAGAAAUGCAGCACCGUGGCCUUAUCCCAACAAGAUCUCCAGGCUCUGUGCAGACAAGAGCCCUUUGCUCCUGCUGGGACUGGCGUGCUCAGCAAACCUGACAGACAACGUGCAAAAUCAGAGUGCUUCCAGCAAAGCGGGGCGAGAACAAGGACGAGGAGGAGAUAAGAAGCAAACAGCUGCAGAAGAUCAGUGGAGAAACUCAGGCUCUUGGUGGAAAUAUGACACAGGGUGGCCAAGGACACUGCUGGGUUUCUGUGCAGUUGGCCUUGAGUGGAUGGCCUGAUGAGGCUUUUUAUCACCUUGGUCUUCGGAUGCAUCUCCACCAUGACCACAGCAGUGAGGCCCCUUCCACGCCUCUGGGUACAGCCUUCGGGAGCCCCUGAGAAGGAGUGCAUGGACUAGGGGGUGGGAGCUGACUCCAGAGAGGUGGGCAGGCCGGGAUCACAGAGCAUCUUGGCUGCACAGCCCAGGAAUCUGACUUACGUCCUGUUAGGCAACAGGCAGCCAGCCACGGGCUUGAGGCAGGAAAGCGGAAUGAUAUGAUGGGUGUUUCAGACACUUCUUUCACAGCUGUGUGGAGGAUAAGCUCCUUGCUAAGAUAAAGGAAACAUGGGCUAAUUUUCUUCUUAAAUGUACUAUAUUUUCCAAGUCAAGCCUAAAUCACUGACUUUGCUUUUCUCCGUGUAUGUUUGAUUUGAUCUCUAUAAAAGGUUAAGGAAAACUUUUAUUAUCUUAAGCCUUUGAUGAGGCCCUGAUUUGUCCUCUCCCCGCCAUGUGAAGCAGAGCACGGAGGAGUAAGGCAACUUUCCCAAGUUCGUGCAGUGGGUUCUUGGCACAACCAGGGAGGAUUUCACGGUCUGGAUUCUCAGAAUUGUGCUCUAACUGGAUCCUGCUGCGAGUCACCCACACUCACACUUACCUCCUAAAAAGUCACUUUCAACUGAGAAGAAGAGAGAUUAUGCCCAAGCUUUGGAAACUUGGCUCUGAGUCGAGGUCCCACGUUCGACUUUUGCUGAUCGCUGCCUCAGUUUCCUUCUGUGUCACCAGUCUUGCAUUGUCAAUGUUUCUCAGUGAGUUUCCCAUCAGUGCCUUCACUGCAUUAUAAAUGUAAACACCACCAAAGUUGACCUUGAGCCCAGCAUGACUCUGAGGCCCCAAAGAAACCUUCCUUAGGAACUGUGAGGAGUAAACAAAUGUUGAAUAGAGAAGUCAAUGUUGACUGCCUUCUCUUCUGACAUCUCCCAUGUACCUCUUCCUUUACUAUGAGAAUUGGUUUCAGACCCAGGAGGAUGUCAGCAGUGUCCUAACUGGCUCAGAGCUGUGAUGGCUGCUUCAUGGUCCGCCCCACUGCCCUCUAUCCCCAGAGCAUGCCCGGCAGGAAGAACCUGUGUGUUCAGGAUGUUCAUGAGGCUGCAUUUAUAGUGUACUGCAGAUUUCAUGUAAAUAUUUCUGUCAUUUGAAGUAGAGAAUGAUAUACCAUAUAUCCCUUUAAUUAAUUGAUCUCAAGCUAUGCUAUUCCCAAAGGCAACAUAAAUGUCCUUCAUACAAAAGGCUUCCAAACUGUCCAGUGACACACACAUGUUUCUGUCUGGCUUUGCUCUUUCCAUCAUGCAGUCGAGUCCUUUGCUUCUAGCCCAUCUCUCAUGUACCUACCCUUUAGUCCUCUGAGGAAAAUCACAACAACCCAGGUGAAAACCCUGAGGUCACACAAGUAAACAAAGUUUGAGCUUUUUUAAACAGGAUGUUGUUGGAUUCAAAUUGGACUUUGGGCUAAGAGGAAUGAACAGUGCCUUUUACUGCAACCCUAGGCAUCCAGGGAAAAGUACAGCAGACUUGAAAGGAACCAAGCUGCAGGCAAGUUAGGACAUUUCCAAAAAAAAUAGAAAAUAGAAAUCUGUUUGUACUUUUGGAGCAUCAACGAGUAAGCUAUUUUCAGUUAGGUUAGUAAAAGCAUGUUUAAACCUGUUUGCAGAGACAGGCUCAUAAAACAUCCUCGCCAGAAAGCAGAGACAGGAGUCGGGGGAGGUGGCAGUCCCUGUAUUUUCCCUUAGUGAACUGAGUGUUGUCCCAACAGGCAACAGGAUACAACAUUUGCCUUGGUCUGAAUGAAGCCCUGAACAGUGCAGCCGGUGCUGUAUUUCAUCGUGACACCAACUGGCCCCUAUUCUCCAAGCUCAACAUCCCCCUUCUCUCUAAAUGAAACCUAGCCUGGAACAAGGCUGUGCUUACAAGAGAACUCACAAUCAGC
ensembl:lncRNA